UGGGGUGUCGCCAAGCGGUAAGGCACAUGGUUUUGAUCCAUGCAUACCCAGGUUCGAAUCCUGGCACCCCAGCCA
rnacentral:tRNA from 1 species